rnacentral:misc_RNA from 1 species
GCAAAAACAGGAAUUACAGCAUCAGUUUUAGAAUGCAAUAGCAAGAUAGAAAGGUAAAAUUCUGAAUACACUAGGGAAAGGCAUAGUACAUUAUUGGCAUAAGAAUAUGAUAUUACAGGAUAAGUCCAAGAAAUGGACAGAAGCAAUUUUCACAAUUUAUAUGUUUUUGCUACUUUAAUAAUUGAGGACUGCUGAGUAAACUCUGGUUUUUGUCUAAAAUAAUAAGCUUAUACCAUCAUAACUUUUUUCCUUUAGAAAUGAGAAUCUCCCCGUAAGGAACUUUCUGUUCAACUCUUAGGAAAUCACGAGAAGCAAGAACACAAGUUUGAUAAAAGAGCAUAGCUGCUCCUUUUCGGUUCAUUCCAACCGAUAGCUUGUUCAAGGAUUCUACUAGAGGGGUUCCUGGUGUCUCAAAAUGUGCUUUCAUCUGCAUUCGGAUGGUGUCAGUUAUCUUGUCCACUGGCUGACUGAUGAUUGGAUGUUGGGUUUGUGUAGGUCCAGUUUCCAUCAAUAGUUCUUGAUCAGGUGUUUGGUCAUUCUCAGACAGCCUUGAUAACUUGAAAUUUGGUUCAGGAAACUUCCAUGGAUUCUCUUCUUCUACUGGUUCAAGGCCACUGCCACUGUGUCUAGAUGAAGAGUAAGGCCUUUUCUUGUUUGAUCUUACUGAGUGGGCUUCUGAAUGAUGUGAUGGCAUACCAUGUCCUGAUCCAGAGCUUGGAAUGGAUCUUACUUCAUCUCCAGAAUUUCUAGGUGUCACCAAAUUGGCCUCGGUUAUCUUCCUACCAUUGUUCAUAAGGUUGGCUCUUAGUUCUCCACGAGGAUUUCCAUUGGUAUCUCAUCAUUAGAAACGGUUGUUCACUGUUUCUCUAUGGAAACAGCAAGUGACAGAGGCCCAACACCGUGAAAAUCUUUAAAGGGCUAAUGUCAAAACACUCAAUCAUACACUAUGCAGUGAUUCUUCUUGGAACAAAUUAAUUAAGAGAUGAUUGGAGAGACUUACAUAUCCUGUUGGUUCUUGAUAAUGUUCUCUCUCUGGCAGUGAUGAUGAUGAUGGUUAUGGAGGCAGAGGUGGGGAAGUCCUUGCUGUACAGACAUAAAAUAUGAAUUUACUCCAUUGUCCUUCUUAGGAUGAUAAUCUCAGAAGCGACUGUACCUACACUCUCACCAGAAGGUUUGUAAUGGGGAGGUUGGGUACUUCUCAUCCAAUGCUGCAGAAGAGGCGCUGGAUAAUAGAUUUCUCUAUUUUCAUAUGCAUAUAUCAUCAAUGAGGACCACAGGUGGUAGAUCCAUCAGGUUAGCUUCCUUCAUUGUAGACAUGAUAUCCCUGCGUGCCUGCAAAAUAUGCAUUGUUGUCCAAGGCUGCUUUGUUUUUCAUAAUGUUUGUCUUGCAAGGGUAGACACCUGCAAAAAUAUUGAAAUUUUAAAAAGUUACAGGCAAUUUAGCACGUUCUCAACCAAUCCAAUUGUCUCCUGACAUACAUGAUAAUUAAAAGAUUCUUUGCACAAGUUUGAAAUGUGAACCAUGUUGGAGAUCACGCACAAACCUUUAUUUUUCUUCCUCGUCUUGAGGCAGUAUCAAAAGCACUUUGAAGCCACAACUGGUAUGUAUGAACCGGAAUCUUGGUUUGUUCAUAAUCUAUCGCUGGAGUUGCAUAUCUUCCUUUUGGCCUUUUAUUGGGUCCUUGCCCAAUUUAAUCCUGUUUCAUCCCCUCUUUCAACGUCAUUUAAACUUGUAUCAUCUUUUCUUAAUCUAAC